UCCUAGUAUUUUAUUUGAUCACUGAGUUUGGGAAAGCUCUUCCUGCGGACCCAUAAACUGUAGUUGAGAAAGGUGAUGACUGUUGGCAAGAUUGCAGUCUCUAGAUUGGUAAGAUGUUAGUUGAGCAUUGACAGAGGUAUAAGAUGCCAUUGAUGUGCUUAAUGGUGUAGUGUCUUUUAAGAAAGUUGGAUCGGUGAUUAGGAUUAUUAAACUUGUGUUUGCACAAUCACCAGGUAAAUUAUACAAGAAGAAAGGAAAGUAUUUGGGUCACGUUCCCGGAGCCUCAAAGAGGUAAUUCUUGGAGAAGAUGCUCCUCCACCCUUGGAGUUCAGCAAAAAAUGUUCACGCUCCGUCAAAAUUACAAAACGAGAUUCACGAUCCACUAGAGCGGCCAGACCAAGGAACUAGAGGAUGAAGGGAAGGAACUAGAGGACGAAGAGAUUCUUUCGAAACAAAGCAUUGGGAAACUCAGAUCACUUGAAGUAGAGUGGUGCUUUUGUCUCUGUUUAAAGAAGCUCUACACGAACAGCUAGCUUUCAGGUGCUCGGGUUGCUCUUCUGCACGGUGUCGAUUUCAUUGGCCGCCUCCUUGUGCGCUUCUCUCCUAUCAAACUGCCGCCCCCUAUGGCAACAAUUCCAGCAGCUUUUCCUAGCCAGACACCCUUGGCAUCUCAAGUUUCGCUUGCAAACCACAUAUUUCUUGGCCUCGCCAAGGCAUUUUUUUUAAUGUUUUUAUCACCGUUGUUGUUUAGGCAAAUGUUGAUGCUCUUACUUUGAUCUCCAAGCUCAUGCUCUCCGUUAGUUUUGCUGCUUUCAACA